GAACGCUGGCGGCAGGCCUAACACAUGCAAGUCGACCGAACUCUUCGGAGUUAGUGGCGGACGGGUGAGUAACACGUGGGAACGUGCCUUUAGGUUCGGAAUAACUCAGGGAAACUUGUGCUAAUACAGAAUGUGCCCUUCGGGGGAAAGAUUUAUCGCCUUUAGAGCGGCCCGCGUCUGAUUAGCUAGUUGGUGAGGUAAAGGCUCACCAAGGCGACGAUCAGUAGCUGGUCUGAGAGGAUGAUCAGCCACAUUGGGACUGAGACACGGCCCAAACUCCUACGGGAGGCAGCAGUGGGGAAUCUUGCGCAAUGGGCGAAAGCCUGACGCAGCCAUGCCGCGUGAAUGAUGAAGGUCUUAGGAUUGUAAAAUUCUUUCAACGGGGACGAUAAUGACGGUACCCGGAGAAGAAGCCCCGGCUAACUUCGUG
rnacentral:rRNA from 1 species